rnacentral:rRNA from 1 species
UGGGGAAUAUUGCACAAUGGGGGAAACCCUGAUGCAGCGACGCCGCGUGAACGAAGAAGGUUUUCGUAUCGUAAAGUUCUGUCCUAUGGGAAGAUAAUGACAGUACCAUAGAAGAAAGCUCCGGCUAAAUACGUGCCAGCAGCCGCGGUAAUACGUAUGGAGCGAGCGUUGUCCGGAAUUAUUGGGCGUAAAGGGUACGCAGGCGGUUUAAUAAGUCGAAUGUUAAAGAUCGGGGCUCAACCCCGUAAAGCAUUGGAAACUGAUAAACUUGAGUAGUGGAGAGGAAAGUGGAAUUCCUAGUGUAGUGGUGAAAUACGUAGAUAUUAGGAGGAAUACCAGUAGCGAAGGCGACUUUCUGGACACAAACUGACGCUGAGGUACGAAAGCGUGGGGAGCAAACAGG